AUGGGAGGGCAAGACUAAAGAUGCCUGCCUUGGAAGAUGGACAAAUCCCAGAGGUGUGUUGGAGUUUGACACCCACACCCUGGUACUCUUGCCCUGUUUCACAUUUGAACUGUUAAUGACUUUAGGAGAUUAUCAGUUCCUGAGGCCUGCUCAGCAGCAGGAUAUCCACACAGUGACCCUGUGAGGGGCACAUCGUUGUUUGUUCCUUCAAUCCUGAGACCAUUUGCUCUAAAGCUCAUGAAGGGGUGGCUCCUCAACCAGCACUCCCAACUCCAAAUUCAAGCUCACCCCACAAGCUUCCU